rnacentral:rRNA from 1 species
AUUGAACGCUGGCGGCAUGCCUUACACAUGCAAGUCGAACGGCAGCACGGGGCAACCUGGUGGCGAGUGGCGAACGGGUGAGUAAUGCAUCGGAACGUACCUUUCAGUGGGGGAUAACGUAGAGAAAGUUUCGCUAAUACCGCAUACUCUGUGAGCAGGAAAGCAGGGGAUCGCAAGACCUUGCGCGUAUUGAGCGGCCGAUGUCAGAUUAGCUAGUUGGUGAGGUAAAGGCUCACCAAGGCGACGAUCUGGAGCGGGUCGGAGAGGAUGAUCCGCCACACUGGAACUGAGACACGGUCCAGACUCCUACGGGAGGCAGCAGUGGGGAAUUUUGGACAAUGGGGGCAACCCUGAUCCAGCCAUGCCGCGUGAGUGAAGAAGGCCUUCGGGUUGUAAAGCUCUUUCGGCCGGGAAGAAAUCGCACGGGCUAAUACCCUGUGUGGAUGACGGUACCGGUAUAAGAAGCACCGGCUAACUACGUGCCAGCCGCCGCCGUAA